GUUGCCCAGACGAAUCACUUCUCCCGAAGCAGUUAUUCUAAUCGCCACGAAGAACUGCAGAACAAACGUGGUAAUUUCUCUAUAAAAAUUAAUAAAGAUGGUGUGUGAACUGUGCCUAACCACGUAGUCAUGAGAGGUUAGAGCAAGGAAUUAAGCACACAUCCUUCAGAUGCACCUAUGUUGAUUGUCAGGGAGGAGGAGAUGUUAUCACAAUCCGAUCUCGGAUUCAUUGAUGAAGAGCUCUAGCAGAGCAACAGACACUUUGAGUCCCAUGAGUUUAUUGCCACCUGACUGCACCCAUGUGACCACAGAAUCUACUUAUCUUUGGAAUGUGGGAGGAAACCUACGCGGUCACAAGGAGAAUGUACAAACUGAAGACAGACGUUGAAGGAAUUGAACCCGUGUCACCGGUGCCGUA